UGUCACACACGCAUGUGUUGCUUGCUGUGACGAAAAUGCACUGCGCAAGUAGAAAGAAACAAUUGGUUCUUUAUUACAGCGUUCACACCGGGCUCCGUCCAGCAGGGCUCCAUCCAGCAGGGCUCCAUACCUUCGCGGGGGAGAGGGGAGGGAACUAUUGAAUGCCUAGGAUUCCUAAAGCUGCCUUGGUGACAAGGGGGACCACAGAAAUGUCAGUUCCUGAGAGAAGGAUCAGGAAAGAGGCCGGACUCUGAUUCUGCCAAGGUCAGGCUGAAGCAUGCACACGGAGAAGUGUACACAUCAGAGGUGCAUGGGCAGAGAAAUCAUCUUUACAUGCACACAUGCAAGCAAUAUCAAGCCAAGUCCAGGAUCAGCGCCUCUGCAGCAUCCCACAGGGCCUCCGGUGCUCCCCUCCCCGUUUUUUUCCGCGAGUGCUCCUCCCAGGCAACCGCUACCCCCGGGACCACAGGUUGAUUUAGCUUGUUCCUGUGCUCUCCACAAACGGCCGUUCAGCUGCUUCACUGCAACUCAAAUCUGAAAAAUGAACUUCAGGCUAGUGAGAUGGCUUAUCAGGUUUGGAAGUUCGGCAGACGAAUGAGACCUGACUCUAAAGGCCAGUCGGUGGGGAGAGGACCGCGGAACGCCAGACAC